UACGUAGGGUGCAAGCGUUGUCCGGAAUUAUUGGGCGUAAAGAGCUCGUAGGCGGUUUGUUGCGUCGGCUGUGAAAACCUGAGGCUCAACCUCAGGCCUGCAGUCGAUACGAGCAGACUAGAGUGUUGCAGGGGAGACUGGAAUUCCUGGUGUAGCGGUGAAAUGCGCAGAUAUCAGGAGGAACACCAGUUGCGAAGGCAG
rnacentral:rRNA from 1 species